UGGGGAAUUUUGGACAAUGGGGGGAACCCUGAUCCAGCCAUUCCGCGUGAGUGAAGAAGGCCUUCGGGUUGUAAAGCUCUUUCGGCAGGAACGAAAAGGCUCUUCCUAAUACGGAGGGUUCAUGACGGUACCUGGAGAAGAAGCACCGGCUAACUACGUGCCAGCAGCCGCGGUAAUACGUAGGGUGCGAGCGUUAAUCGGAAUUAUUGGGCGUAAAGCGUGCGCAGGCGGCUACAUAAGACAGAUGUGAAAUCCCCGGGCUCAACCUGGGAACUGCGUUUGUGACUGUGUGGCUUGAGUGUAGCAGAGGGGGGUGGAAUUCCACGUGUAGCAGUGAAAUGCGUAGAUAUGUGGAGGAACAUCGAUGGCGAAGGCAGCCCCCUGGGUUAACACUGACGCUCAGGCACGAAAGCGUGGGGAGCAAACAGG
rnacentral:rRNA from 1 species